AUUGAACGCUGGCGGCAGGCCUAACACAUGCAAGUCGAGCGGAUGAAGGGAGCGUGCUCUUGGAUUCAGCGGCGGAGGGGUGAGUAAUUCCUAGGAAUCUGCCUGUUAGUGGGGGAUUACGUCCUGAAAUGGGUGCUAUUACAGUAAUCGUCCUGACGGAGAAAGGGGGGGAGCCUUGGACCUCACGCUCUCAGAUGAGCCUAGGUCGGAUUAGCUAGUUGGUGGGGUAAAGGCCUACCAAGGCGCCGACCCGUAACUGGUCUGAGAGGAUGAUCAGUCACACUGGAACUGAGACACGGUCCAGACUCCUACGGGAGGCAGCAGUGGGGAAUAUUGGACAAAGGGCGAAAGCCUGAUCCAGCCAUGCCGCGUGUGUGAAGAAGGUCUUCGGAUUGUAAAGCACUUUGGGUUGGGAGGAAGAGCAGUAAGUUAAUACCUUGCUGUUUUGACGUUACCAACAGAAUAAGCACCGGCUAACUUCGUG
rnacentral:rRNA from 1 species